AACAGCAGCCAUAUCACCCUGCAGCUCAACUGGCUAUCCACUGAAGCUAAAGUAAGUAGCAUUGAGCCUGGUCAGUACCUGGAUGGGAGACCUCCUGGGAAGCUAUGGUUGCUGCUGGAA
rnacentral:rRNA from 1 species